UGGGGAAUAUUGGACAAUGGGGGAAACCCUGAUCCAGCAAUGCCGCGUGUGCGAUGAAGGCCUGCGGGUUGUAAAGCACUUUCGGUGGGGAAGAAAUGCUCAAAGAUAAUCUCUUUGAGAGCUGACGUUACCCACAGAAGAAGCACCGGCAAACUCUGUGCCAGCAGCCGCGGUAAUACAGAGGGUGCAAGCGUUAAUCGGAGUUACUGGGCGUAAAGGGCGCGUAGGCGGGUAUUUAAGUCGGAUGUGAAAUCCCUGGGCUUAACCUAGGAAUUGCAUUCGAUACUGAAUAUUCUUGAGUAUGGUAGAGGAAAGUGGAAUUCUCGGUGUAGUAGUAAAAUACGUAGAUAUCGAGAAGAACACCGGUGGCGAAGGCGGCUUUCUGGACCAAUACUGACGCUGAGGCGCGAAAGCGUGGGGAGCAAACA
rnacentral:rRNA from 1 species